CUGGGCUGGCUGCUGGAGGCCACGUCCAAGUCCACGCGUCCGCAGCUCAUUGGUCAGUGAGCUCACAGCGACGGUGGCGCGGAGCAGGCUCGGGGUCAGCGUGCUGGACGACCUGGAGGCUCCUCAAAUGUGCUCUCUCUGACCCAGGUGACUCCGUCUCAGCCCCAUGUUGCAGGUCUGCCUUUUCUCCUUUCUCUCCACUGCAAUUUCUCCUCAGAAGCAAACCUAAACUGGAAGGGGAAAAAACAACAACUUCAGCGUGCUACGAUGAUUAGUAGUCAAAGUCUCGCCAAAGGGAUGCUUCCGUAAAAGUAUGAUCAAAUAUAGUGAAUGCUGCUGCUGAGCACCAUCUAAUGGAAAGGCAAGUUUGUAAAAAUGUCCGGUGUGUCCUUAUCUACCAGAUGUGGCACCGUGUGACUUCUGGCUCUUCUCCAAAAUCAAAGUGACCAUGAAAGGUAAAUGUUUUGAAUUCAUUCAGGAUAUUGAGGAAGCAUAACUGCAACACCUGUAACAGAAGACUUCCAGAACCGCCUCAUAAAGU